rnacentral:rRNA from 1 species
UUGGUGUUCAUAAUAACUUAACGAAUCGCAUGGCCUUUGCCGGGCGAUGGUUCAUUCAAAUUUCUGCCCUAUCAACUUUCGAUGGUAGGAUAGUGGCCUACCAUGGUUUCAACGGGUAACGGGGAAUUAGGGUUCUAUUCCGGAGAGGGAGCUGAGAAACGGUGCACAUCCAAGGAAGGCAGCAGGCGCGCAAAUUACCCAAUCCCGACACGGGGAGGUAGUGACAAUAAAUACUGAUACAGGGCUCUUUUGGGUCUUGUAAUUGGAAUGAGUACAAUUUAAAUCCCUUAACGAGGAACAAUUGGAGGGCAAGUCUGGUUGCCAGCAGCCGGGUAAUUCCAGCUCCAAUAGCGUAUAUUAAAGUUGUUGCAGUUAAAAAAGCUCGUAGUUGAACCUUGAGCCCUUGGCUGGCCGGGUUCCGCCUCACCGGUGCACCUUGGUCCGGCCGGGUUUUUCCUUCUGGGGAGCCGCAUGCCUUCACUGGGUGUGUCGGGGAACCAGGACUUUUACUUUGAAAAAAUCGAGAGUGUUCAAAGCAGGCCUAUGCUCGAAUACAUUAGCAUGGAAUAAUAGAAUAGG